UGUAGGGGGCAAGCGUUGUCCGGAUUUAUUGGGCGUAAAGAGCGUGUAGGCGGCCAGACAGGUCCGUUGUGAAAACCCGAGGCUCAACCUCGAGACGUCGAUGGAAACCGUCGGGCUAGAGUCCGGAAGAGGAGAGUGGAAUUCCCGGUGUAGCGGUGAAAUGCGCAGAUAUCAGGAGGAACACCCGUGGCGAAAGCGGCUCUCUGGGACGGUACUGACGCUGAGACGCGAAAGCGUGGGGAGCGAACAGGAUUAGAUACCCUGGUAGUCCACGCCGUAAACGAUGGGUGCUAGGUGUGGGCGGUGUCGACUCCGUCCGUGCCGAAGCUAACGCAUUAAGCACCCCGCCUGGGGAGUACGGCCGCAAGGCUA
rnacentral:rRNA from 1 species